GAGAAUAUCAUAAUUUAGUUACUUGCUGUAAUGGCUGUGCCCAAGGGUUUUUUAGCUUGUCUCUUGCUACUAAUGAUUGCUGCCAUGUUUCAUCAAUCCCCAAGAGGUGGAGAAGCCAGAACAUUAACACUCAAACAAGGAAAUACAAAGAAGUUCUUUGCCACCCUAGGAUUGGAAUGCAAGUGCUGCGAUGGUGCUCAUGGUGAAUGCAGAAGCUCAUGGGAGUCCUCCUGUCCCAAGCUCCAAUGCCAUCCAUGGAAAGCUCACUAAUUUUGUUGGUGUAGUUUCGUCUCCUGCCGUGGUGUGCACGCAUGGUUUUUAGCUUUUAUUUAUAAAAUAAAUGAAUAAUUCUGAGCAAUAUUAUA